UACGGGGGGUGCUAGCGUUGUCCGGAAUCACUGGGCGUAAAGGGCGCGUAGGUGGUUUGAUAAGGGUGUGGUGAAAGCCCGGGGCUCAACCCCGGGUCUGCCGUGCCGACUGUCAAACUCGAGGGCUGUAGAGGCAGACGGAAUUCCGGGUGUAGCGGUGGAAUGCGUAGAGAUCCGGAGGAACACCCGAGGCGAAGGCGGCUCUCUGGGUCGUACCUGACGCUGAGGCGCGAAAGCGUGGGGAGCGAACGGG
rnacentral:rRNA from 1 species